rnacentral:rRNA from 1 species
GACGAACGCUGGCGGCGUGCUUAACACAUGCAAGUCGAACGAAGUGGCGAACGGGUGAGUAACGCGUAAUCAACCUGCCCUUCAGAGGGGGACAACAGUUGGAAACGACUGCUAAUACCGCAUACUGAAGGAGGGGAUUGCGUCUGAUUAGCUCGUUGGGGGGGUAACGGCCGACCAAGGGGAUGAUCAGUUGCCGGUCUGAGGGGAUGAACGGCCAAAUUGGGACUGAGGAAAGGCCCAAACUGCUACGGGAGGCAGCAGUGGGGAAUCUUCCGCAAUGGACGAAAGGCUGGCGGCGCAACGCCGCGUGAGGGAUGACGGCCUUCGGGUUGUAAAGCUCUGUUAAUCGGGACGCGGUACCGGAAUAGAAAGCCACGGCUAACUACGUGCCAGCCGCCGCGGUAAUUC